rnacentral:rRNA from 1 species
CCUACGGGAGGCAGCAGUGGGGAAUAUUGCGCAAUGGGGGAAACCCUGACGCAGCAACGCCGCGUGAGUGAGGAAGGACUUCGGUCUGUAAAGCUCUGUUAAUGUGGAAAAAUGGUAGUUGGUCUAAUAGGCCGAUUAUUUGAUGGUACACAUAGAGGAAGCACCGGCUAACUUCGUGCCAGCAGCCGCGGUAAUACGAAGGGUGCAAGCGUUGUUCGGAUUUAUUGGGCGUAAAGCGCGCGUAGGCGGACCUGUAAGUCAGAUGUGAAAUCUCGGGGCUCAACCUCGAAACUGCGUCUGAAACUGCAGGUCUAGAAUCUCGGAGGGGGAAGGGAAUUUCGCAUGUAGGGGUAAAAUCCGUAGACAUGCGAAGGAACACCAGAGGCGAAGGCGCCUUCCUGGACGAGUAUUGACGCUGAGGCGCGAAAGCGUGGGGAUCAAACAGGAUUAGAUACCCUGGUAGUCCACGCUGUAAACUAUGAACACUAGGUAUUGGAGGUAUUUCGACCCCUUNAGUGCCGUAGCUAACGCGUUAAGUGUUCCGCCUAGGGAAGUACGGUCGCAAGACUUAAAACUUAAGUGUAAGUUAGACGGCGUGAGACGUCGCCGACGGACGACCGACGAGGGAGGUUAGG